rnacentral:misc_RNA from 1 species
GAUGAAGAACGCAGUGAAAUGCGAUAAUUAAUGUGAAUUGCAGAAUUCAGUGAAUCAUCGAGUCUUUGAACGCACAUUGCGCCCCCUGGUAUUCCGGGGGGCAUGCCUGUCCGAGCGUCAUUGCUGCCCUCAAGCACGGCUUGUGUGUUGGGCUUCCGUCCCUGGCAACGGGGACGGGCCCAAAAGGCAGUGGCGGCACCAUGUCUGGUCCUCGAGCGUAUGGGGCUUUGUCACCCGCUCCCGUAGGUCCAGCUGGCAGCUAGCCUCGCAACCAAUCUUUUUAACCAGGUUGACCUCGUAUCAGGUAGGGAUACCCGCUGAACUUAAGCAUAUCAAUAAGCGGAGGA